GAUACAUAUUACAGUCCAAUAAUAAUAGGCCCAACCAUCUUAGCAAUCUGCUCAAUCCGUACGUUUCUUGAUCUUUGUUCACGUCGUUCUGGUUACUCUCCUAGAUUCUGAGAAUGUCGUCGACAACAAUCAGCGAGCACAUCAAACUCCGACGAGUUAGGCACCAAACAAUCCGCCACAUCGCUGCUGACGAAGAUCUGCCGCUGACACACGUCGUCCCUCCAAUCUUCCAGCCCAAUCGCUUCUGUAGUUAGAGACGUCAAUGGCAGCGGCGGCUGCGUUGCGGUUUCUGAUGUUUGGUGCAGUAAAGGAUUAGGGUUCACGACGGAUGCGGUGUCGAUGAUCCUCCGAGGAGGAAUCUUCCGCCGUCGCGUCGUAAAAUCGACGUGGACAAGAACAGUUCGAACCAAACAGAAUUAAAGCGAAUAGUUUGGGUUUAGGCAAAAACUGUUUGGAGUGGUUGGAGCUAUAGUUGUUGUAGCAUCCCUAUGUUGUUGCUGGGGACCAACAAACGUCAUGUCGAUCUGUGGCUUGAAUCGAUCGAUUCGGUGAUGCUGAUUAUCACCAGGAGACAAGCUUCUUCUCAGAGUUAGGGGAGCUCUGCUUGCUCUGAUUCAUGUCUCCUCCUCUGAUCCUUUGCCUCACCUUAGUAUCAAAAACACACCAAUCGAGACAUCAUCUGCGCAGUUUAUACGUCAACGGUACACUGCUGCUUCCAGUGGACAGAAGUUUCAAAACUCUAUAAUAAGCGCUUAUGGGGAAGCUCAAGAUGAUCACUAAACACAUGGAAGCUGAUAUUGAAGAGAAUCUGAUGUUCUAUCAGGCUUGCUAUUGAGUGGAUUUUUUCCAUGAUUUUUUUCCCAAGCCGGAAUUCCCCUACUCCAGAUUAUAUCUGACUUCAUAAGAAAAGUGGACUCGAUGCCACUGAAUAUGCCAGUGAGAUGCAAUUGAUUGCAGGGUAUUUGGUAGUCAGUAAUGUGAAUAUGCAUGAAGGUGCCCGCUGAGUUGUUAAUAUCUCAAUCCGUGCAAUUUUGCAAACCAAGUUUAACACCAAGGUCAACAAGUUUCUUUCUUUCUUUGUCGUUUGUAUAUUCUGAGUUUUACCUGUGAAGAGAUAUGAUCAGCUCAUCCUUUUUUCAUUGUACUAUAUUUGGUUGAUGAUUUGACGUUUCACAGGUGAAAAUUACGAAUUUGAAUGCGUUUUCAGCAAUUAACAGGAAACUUAACUAGGAGAUCCAGACAAUCACUUCUCUAUAACCAGGGCCAAGCCGACCAGAUCUUGGGAAGAAGAAACUCAGCCAUUUCUUCCAGAAGUAAUACUCGCCCAAGUAUAGCAUCCGAGCUUCUUUACUGGAGCUUCCUGAAGAAAAGGGCAGGACGUACGAGGCCAUGGGUGUAGGCACUUAACAUGUGUUCUUCCUCGCAAAUGAUGCCAAUGUAAGUCCCAUAUGCUCAAGAGUUUGGUUAGGAAACUACCAGUGAGAGCAAAAGAAAUAUAACUUUAAAUAAGGGUUGUGUGGAUAUAUAUAAUUAUGAUUCAUGUCAAGACGUGCAAAAUAUUUUUGGAAUCAAUGGCUUACAUCUAUUUUGCUGCAGUUAUUGGCAAGGGUGCUGAAUUAAAGUUCCCGACAAAUUUGCUAAUGAGUGAUAUCGUUGCUUUCUUUAACAAUGAGAACUUUUCAGUCAAUGGUGUUUACCUUGCUUCUAAAGAUUGAUAUCAUCUUUUUUGUUUUGGAUCAUUGCUAUUUUUUUUUUCCAGAUAUUAUUUGAGCUCUUGGUUAAAGGUGAAACUGCCCAAGGAAUGAUAAAAGCAAAAGACUUGGUUUAGGCAAAGUAUAUGCUAUUCAGAGAAAAGUUUACUCUGACCCAUUUUGAAGGUUCAUCGAGAAUAUACUUCAGGCUUACCCUACUUUAAUAGGUUUUUUUGUCUGUAUGUUUCUGAUAAUCGAUCAUGUCGAAAUAAAAAAAUGGUUAUAAAAGUGGACUCUCAAUCCCCAACCCAAG